rnacentral:rRNA from 1 species
GACGAACGCUGGCGGCGUGCUUAACACAUGCAAGUCGAACGGAAAGGCCCUGCUUUUGUGGGGUGCUCGAGUGGCGAACGGGUGAGUAACACGAGAGUAACCUGACCUUGACUUUGGGAUAACUUCAGGAAACUGGGGCUAAUAUCGGAUAGGAGCUCCUGCUGCAUGGUGGGGGUUGGAAAGUUUCGGCGGUUGGGGAUGGACUCGGGGCUUUUGAGCUUGUUGGUGGGGUUGUGGCUUACCAAGGCUUUGACGGGUAGCCGGCCUGAGAGGGUGACCGGCCACGUUGGGACUGAGAUACGGCCCAGACUCCUACGGGAGGCAGCAGUGGGGAAUAUUGCACAAUGGGCGGAAGCCUGAUGCAGCAACGCCGCGUGCGGGAUGACGGCCUUCGGGUUGUAAACCGCUUUCGCCUGUGACGAAGCGUGAUUGACGGUAAUGGGUAAAGAAGCACCGGCUAACUACGUG